GCUAAAAAGCGUAAACGUCUAGCAGAUGAGUUCUAUGAACUUCUUCAUGCUUCAAAGGAAAUUACUGCAUCGUCAAAAUGGGAGGACUGCAAGUCCCUCUUUGGAGAUAGGAUAACGGGUGACGAGAGCUUGCUGCUAGAAAUAUUUGACAAAUUUGUUAAUGAGCUAAAAGAAAAGGCAAAAGAGAAGGACCGGAAGCGUCAA
rnacentral:misc_RNA from 1 species